rnacentral:rRNA from 1 species
AGCUCCAAUAGCGUAUAUUAAAGUUGUUGCAGUUAAAAAGCUCGUAGUUGGAUCUCGGGUCCAGGCCUGCGGUUCCUUUAACCAGGACACUGCUUGCCCUGACCUACCUGCCGGCUCUCCCUUGGUGCUCUUAACUGAGUGUCUCGGGUGGCCGGAACGUUUACUUUGAAAAAAUUAGAGUGUUCAAAGCAGGCUCGUCGCCUGAAUACUGGUGCAUGGAAUAAUGGAAUAGGACCUCGGUUCUGUUUUGUUGGUUUUCGGAACUGGAGGUAAUGAUUAAGAGGGACGGACGGGGGCAUUCGUAUUACGGUGUUAGAGGUGAAAUUCUUGGAUCGCCGUAAGACGAACUACUGCGAAAGCAUUUGCCAAGAAUGUUUUCAUUAAUCAAGAACGAAAGUAG